rfam:Pyrococcus furiosus DSM 3638, complete genome.
GGAGGCGAUGAUUUGACUCCGGAAAAUCUGAUCGAUGAUGAAGUCCAGCCCGAAUGAGC